CCUACGGGAGGCAGCAGUGGGGAAUAUUGGGCAAUGGGCGCAAGCCUGACCCAGCAACGCCGCGUGAAGGAAGAAGGCUUUCGGGUUGUAAACUUCUUUUCUCAGGGACGAAGCAAGUGACGGUACCUGAGGAAUAAGCCACGGCUAACUACGUGCCAGCAGCCGCGGUAAUACGUAGGUCGCAAGCGUUAUCCGGAUUUACUGGGUGUAAAGGGCGUGGAGGCGGGACUGCAAGUCAGAUGUGAAAACCAUGGGCUUAACCUAUGGCCUGCAUUUGAAACUGUAGUUCUUGAGUACUGGAGAGGCAGACGGAAUUCCGAGUGUAGCGGUGAAAUGCGGAGAUAUUAGGAGGAACACCAGUGGCGAAGGCGGUCUGCUGGACAGCAACUGACGCUGAGGCGCGAAAGCGUGGGGAGCAAACAGGAUUAGAUACCCUAGUAGUC
rnacentral:rRNA from 1 species